GGGUUGUGAGGUUAAGCGACUAAGCGUACACGGUGGAUGCCCUGGCAGUCAGAGGCGAUGAAGGACGUGCUAAUCUGCGAUAAGCGUCGGUAAGGUGAUAUGAACCGUUAUAACCGGCGAUUUCCGAAUGGGGAAACCCAGUGUGUUUCGACACACUAUCAUUAACUGAAUCCAUAGGUUAAUGAGGCGAACCGGGGGAACUGAAACAUCUAAGUACCCCGAGGAAAAGAAAUCAACCGAGAUUCCCCCAGUAGCGGCGAGCGAACGGGGAGGAGCCCAGAGCCUGAAUCAGUGUGUGUGUUAGUGGAAGCGUCUGGAAAGGCGCGCGAUACAGGGUGACAGCCCCGUACACAAAAAUGCACAUAUUGUGAGCUCGAUGAGUAGGGCGGGACACGUGGUAUCCUGUCUGAAUAUGGGGGGACCAUCCUCCAAGGCUAAAUACUCCUGACUGACCGAUAGUGAACCAGUACCGUGAGGGAAAGGCGAAAAGAACCCCGGCGAGGGGAGUGAAAAAGAACCUGAAACCGUGUACGUACAAGCAGUGGGAGCACGCUUAGGCGUGUGACUGCGUACCUUUUGUAUAAUGGGUCAGCGACUUAUAUUCUGUAGCAAGGUUAACCGAAUAGGGGAGCCGAAGGGAAACCGAGUCUUAACUGGGCGUUAAGUUGCAGGGUAUAGACCCGAAACCCGGUGAUCUAGCCAUGGGCAGGUUGAAGGUUGGGUAACACUAACUGGAGGACCGAACCGACUAAUGUUGAAAAAUUAGCGGAUGACUUGUGGCUGGGGGUGAAAGGCCAAUCAAACCGGGAGAUAGCUGGUUCUCCCCGAAAGCUAUUUAGGUAGCGCCUCGUGAAUUCAUCUCCGGGGGUAGAGCACUGUUUCGGCAAGGGGGUCAUCCCGACUUACCAACCCGAUGCAAACUGCGAAUACCGGAGAAUGUUAUCACGGGAGACACACGGCGGGUGCUAACGUCCGUCGUGAAGAGGGAAACAACCCAGACCGCCAGCUAAGGUCCCAAAGUCAUGGUUAAGUGGGAAACGAUGUGGGAAGGCCCAGACAGCCAGGAUGUUGGCUUAGAAGCAGCCAUCAUUUAAAGAAAGCGUAAUAGCUCACUGGUCGAGUCGGCCUGCGCGGAAGAUGUAACGGGGCUAAACCAUGCACCGAAGCUGCGGCAGCGACGCUUAUGCGUUGUUGGGUAGGGGAGCGUUCUGUAAGCCUGUGAAGGUGUGCUGUGAGGCAUGCUGGAGGUAUCAGAAGUGCGAAUGCUGACAUAAGUAACGAUAAAGCGGGUGAAAAGCCCGCUCGCCGGAAGACCAAGGGUUCCUGUCCAACGUUAAUCGGGGCAGGGUGAGUCGACCCCUAAGGCGAGGCCGAAAGGCGUAGUCGAUGGGAAACAGGUUAAUAUUCCUGUACUUGGUGUUACUGCGAAGGGGGGACGGAGAAGGCUAUGUUGGCCGGGCGACGGUUGUCCCGGUUUAAGCGUGUAGGCUGGUUUUCCAGGCAAAUCCGGAAAAUCAAGGCUGAGGCGUGAUGACGAGGCACUACGGUGCUGAAGCAACAAAUGCCCUGCUUCCAGGAAAAGCCUCUAAGCAUCAGGUAACAUCAAAUCGUACCCCAAACCGACACAGGUGGUCAGGUAGAGAAUACCAAGGCGCUUGAGAGAACUCGGGUGAAGGAACUAGGCAAAAUGGUGCCGUAACUUCGGGAGAAGGCACGCUGAUAUGUAGGUGAAGCGACUUGCUCGUGGAGCUGAAAUCAGUCGAAGAUACCAGCUGGCUGCAACUGUUUAUUAAAAACACAGCACUGUGCAAACACGAAAGUGGACGUAUACGGUGUGACGCCUGCCCGGUGCCGGAAGGUUAAUUGAUGGGGUCAGCGCAAGCGAAGCUCUUGAUCGAAGCCCCGGUAAACGGCGGCCGUAACUAUAACGGUCCUAAGGUAGCGAAAUUCCUUGUCGGGUAAGUUCCGACCUGCACGAAUGGCGUAAUGAUGGCCAGGCUGUCUCCACCCGAGACUCAGUGAAAUUGAACUCGCUGUGAAGAUGCAGUGUACCCGCGGCAAGACGGAAAGACCCCGUGAACCUUUACUAUAGCUUGACACUGAACAUUGAGCCUUGAUGUGUAGGAUAGGUGGGAGGCUUUGAAGUGUGGACGCCAGUCUGCAUGGAGCCGACCUUGAAAUACCACCCUUUAAUGUUUGAUGUUCUAACGUUGACCCGUGAUCCGGGUUGCGGACAGUGUCUGGUGGGUAGUUUGACUGGGGCGGUCUCCUCCUAAAGAGUAACGGAGGAGCACGAAGGUUGGCUAAUCCUGGUCGGACAUCAGGAGGUUAGUGCAAUGGCAUAAGCCAGCUUGACUGCGAGCGUGACGGCGCGAGCAGGUGCGAAAGCAGGUCAUAGUGAUCCGGUGGUUCUGAAUGGAAGGGCCAUCGCUCAACGGAUAAAAGGUACUCCGGGGAUAACAGGCUGAUACCGCCCAAGAGUUCAUAUCGACGGCGGUGUUUGGCACCUCGAUGUCGGCUCAUCACAUCCUGGGGCUGAAGUAGGUCCCAAGGGUAUGGCUGUUCGCCAUUUAAAGUGGUACGCGAGCUGGGUUUAGAACGUCGUGAGACAGUUCGGUCCCUAUCUGCCGUGGGCGCUGGAGAACUGAGGGGGGCUGCUCCUAGUACGAGAGGACCGGAGUGGACGCAUCACUGGUGUUCGGGUUGUCAUGCCAAUGGCACUGCCCGGUAGCUAAAUGCGGAAGAGAUAAGUGCUGAAAGCAUCUAAGCACGAAACUUGCCCCGAGAUGAGUUCUCCCUGACCCUUUAAGGGUCCUGAAGGAACGUUGAAGACGACGACGUUGAUAGGCCGGGUGUGUAAGCGCAGCGAUGCGUUGAGCUAACCGGUACUAAUGAACCGUGAGGCUUAACCUUACAACGCCGAAG
rnacentral:rRNA from 1 species